rnacentral:rRNA from 1 species
CAUUGGGACUGAGACACGGCCCAAACUCCUACGGGAGGCAGCAGUGGGGAAUAUUGCACAAUGGGGGAAACCCUGAUGCAGCGACGCCGCGUGAGCGAAGAAGUAUUUCGGUAUGUAAAGCUCUAUCAGCAGGGAAGAUAAUGACGGUACCUGACUAAGAAGCCCCGGCUAACUACGUGCCAGCAGCCGCGGUAAUACGUAGGGGGCAAGCGUUAUCCGGAUUUACUGGGUGUAAAGGGAGCGUAGACGGCAAGGCAAGUCUGAUGUGAAAACCCAGGGCUUAACCCUGGGACUGCAUUGGAAACUGUCUGGCUCGAGUGCCGGAGAGGUAAGCGGAAUUCCUAGUGUAGCGGUGAAAUGCGUAGAUAUUAGGAAGAACACCAGUGGCGAAGGCGGCUUACUGGACGGUAACUGACGUUGAGGCUCGAAAGCGUGGGGAGCAAACAGGAUUAGAUACCCUGGUAGUCCACGCCGUAAACGCUGAAACGGAGGUGUUGGGGAGCAAAGCUCUUCGGUG